GAAGGUCCAGGCGUUAUCCGGAUUUAUUGGGUUUAAAGGGAGCGUAGGCGGAUUCUUAAGUCAGUUGUGAAAGUUGGCCGCUCAACGGUCAAAUUGCAGUUGAAACUGGGAGUCUUGAGUGCACACAGGGAUGCCGGAAUUCAUGGUGUAGCGGUGAAAUGCUUAGAUAUCAUGAAGAACUCCGAUCGCGAAGGCAAGUGUCCGGAGUGCAACUGACGCUGAGGCUCGAAAGUGUGGGUAUCAAA
rnacentral:rRNA from 1 species